rnacentral:rRNA from 1 species
GACGAAGGGGGCUAGCGUUGUUCGGAAUUACUGGGCGUAAAGCGUGUGUAGGUGGUUGUCAUAGUCAGGUGUGAAAGCCUUGAGCUCAACUCAAGAAAUGCACUUGAUACUGGGCAGCUAGAGGACCGGAGAGGAUAGUGGAAUUCCCAGUGUAGUGGUGAAAUACGUAGAGAUUGGGAAGAACACCAGUGGCGAAGGCGGCUAUCUGGACCGGAACUGACGCUGAGGCGCGAAAGCCAGGGGAGCGAAUGGG